GCUAGGCACAGUGGUGCAUGCCUGUAGUCCCAGCACUGUGGCAGCUGAGGUGAAAGCGUUGGUUGAGCCCAGGAGUUCUGGGUUAUAGUUCUGAGCUAUAGUUCCUGAUGCUGAUCAGAUACUAAAUUAGGUACUAAAUUGGGUAUCAGUAUGGUGACUUACUUUCUUGUUGCCUAAGCAGGGGUGAACUGAGCAGAUCAAAACUCUUGUGCUGAUGAGUAGUGGGAUGACACCUGUGAAUAGCCACUGCACUCCAACCUGGGCAACAUAGUGAGACCUUGUCUCU
rnacentral:SRP_RNA from 1 species